rnacentral:rRNA from 1 species
UACGGAGGGUGCAAGCGUUGCUCGGAAUUAUUGGGCGUAAAGGGUAGGUAGGUGGUCUCAUUUGUCUGGGGUGAAAGCCUUGAGCUUAACUCAAGAAGUGCCCCGGAAACGGUGAGACUAGAGUCUUGGAGAGGGUCGUGGAAUUCCUGGUGGAGCGGUGAAAUGCGCAGAUAUCAGGAGGAACACCCGUAGCGAAGGCGGCACUCUGGGCCGAUACUGACACUGAGGAGCGAAAGCGUGGGGAGCGAACAGG